CUCUCUCUCUCUCUCUCUCUCUCUCUCUCUCUCUCUCUCUCUCUCUCGCAUCAGCUGCUCCUGUGAUCCUCAUCUUCGCAAUCAAUGCUGCCUUCUUCCUCUCUAGCUUAUUCUUUCUUAUAAAAAAAAAAAAAAAAACUCUAAGAAUUGGGGUGCUAGCGGGACCUAGAAACAUCUAAGCUUUCAUUCUCUCUCUCUCUCUCUCUCUCUCGCAUCAGCUGCUCCUGUGAUCCUCAUCUUCGCAAUCAAUGCUGCCUUCUUCCUCUCUAGCUUAUUCUUUCUUAUAAAAAAAAAAAAAAAAACUCUAAGAAUCGGGGUGCUAGCGGGACCUAGAAACAUCUAAGCUUUCAUUCUCUCUCGCUCUACAAGUGAGAUUCUUUGUCUAGAUUGACAUGGGCGCUCUUCAUUUGCGGUUUUUGCUAUGAGGUUCUGCGGACAAGCUGCAAAUGAAGAUCAUUGACUCUCCAUUGGUGUUCUUGCUUCUCGUUUUCAUCUUUUCCACUACGAUUUCAGCUUUUUUCUUCUCCUGUUCGUGGACAGAGUACAGAUUCUCUCAAGUUUAUCUUAGAGGAGGAGACAACUUGCUCCCAAAAUGGAGAAGAGUCGCAGAACAACAAAUUAAGUAGAAAAAAAAAAAAACCAUUACUCACCGAGGACGACGGUGUUUCUUGGAGCUGAGUUUGCAAAUCUUGGUCGUUUCUCUAGCAUUCAAAGAACAAGUAAGCUGUUCUUGCAAUCAAGAUUCAUGGGUUCGUUUAAGAUCAGGAUCACUCCUUGGAUUUUCUGUUUUUCUGAUUCUUGCUUCCACAUAUUUUUUUUUUUGUUUCUCCCAUAUUCUGCUAUGAAAUUUUGGGAAUUUUUUUUUAGUAUGGUUCCAUUUCAAAGAAUUUACCCGUGUGUGCUCCAAGUGUUCAAAAAAAUGAUACAAAAGAGUUGGUGAUUCACAAUGGAACUUGAGUUUUCUAUGGCAUUUUUCUUCUAUGGCAAUUGCUGAUUGUUCUCCAAGUGUUCGAAAGAAUGACACAAAGGAGCUGCUCGUGGCAGUGAAGCCACCACCGAUCUGGUCUUGGUCACUGGUGGUGAAGCCAAUAGUUACCGAUGCGGCAAAGAAGAAGCCGAUAGUAGCAACAAAAGCAAAGUCUGCAAAGGCAUCAAAAGAGACAGGAGAAGGCUCUAGCCAAAACAAAGAAGGCCAAAGCUGCUAAAAACCAAAACCUGCAACAAAGCCAAAAGUUGUGGCAAAGCCAAAGACGAAGCCAAAGGACAAGCCGGUUAAAGAAUUAAGAAUCUCAACCAAGACUUCAUCGGGGAAAGAAAGUUGCAACUUCGAAGCCUGCUACAAAGAAAGCACUGGCUAAGGCAACUUCUUCAAAGAGUGCGAAACCAAAGAGUGUGAAAUUUUUUAUAAAAAAAAAUCUGUAAAUUUGCUGAUCUUUGUGGUUGUAUUUGGCGUUGCAAUCAGAUUUUGAUGCGUUAUGUUUGUUUGUUUUUUUUUUUUUUUACCGCAAGAUGGAGAUGUUAAAUCUUUGUUCCCCAUCUCCAUCAUAAAAAGGGCAAUGGGCAUUUCAACCCUUACCUAUACUAGCUCUGAGGAGAGUUUUUCUAGCGAGAUCCGCUCUUUUGGCUGUCUUAUUAGACAUUCUAAAUCACACCCCGUUUUGAUUAUAUUC